UGGAAAAAUGAUGACUACGGGUGUUGUAUGAGUCAUGGUUUAUGACUAAGAGUUUUUGAGUCAGAAUUCAGA